rnacentral:rRNA from 1 species
GACGAACGCUGGCGGCGUGCUUAACACAUGCAAGUCGAGCAGUAAGGCCCUUUCGGGGGUACACGAGCGGCGAACGGGUGAGUAACACGUGGGUGACCUGCCCUCAGCUCUGGGAUAAGCCUGGGAAACCGGGUCUAAUACUGGAUAUGACUCCAUGACGCAUGUUGUGGGGUGGAAAGCCUUGUGCGGCUGAGGAUGGGCCCGCGGCCUAUCAGCUUGUUGGUGGGGUGAUGGCCUACCAAGGCGACGACGGGUAGCCGGCCUGAGAGGGCGACCGGCCACACUGGGACUGAGACACGGCCCAGACUCCUACGGGAGGCAGCAGUGGGGAAUCUUGCGCAAUGGGCGAAAGCCUGACGCAGCGACGCCGCGUGAGGGAUGACGGCCU